rnacentral:rRNA from 1 species
GGGUAACGGCUCACCUAGGCGACGAUCCCUAGCUGGUCUGAGAGGAUGACCAGCCACACUGGAACUGAGACACGGUCCAGACUCCUACGGGAGGCAGCAGUGGGGAAUAUUGCACAAUGGGCGCAAGCCUGAUGCAGCCAUGCCGCGUGUAUGAAGAAGGCCUUCGGGUUGUAAAGUACUUUCAGCGGGGAGGAAGGGAGUAAAGUUAAUACCUUUGCUCAUUGACGUUACCCGCAGAAGAAGCACCGGCUAACUCCGUGCCAGCAGCCGCGGUAAUACGGAGGGUGCAAGCGUUAAUCGGAAUUACUGGGCGUAAAGCGCACGCAGGCGGUUUGUUAAGUCAGAUGUGAAAUCCCCGGGCUCAACCUGGGAACUGCAUCUGAUACUGGCAAGCUUGAGUCUCGUAGAGGGGGGUAGAAUUCCAGGUGUAGCGGUGAAAUGCGUAGAGAUCUGGAGGAAUACCGGUGGCGAAGGCGGCCCCCUGGACGAAGACUGACGCUCAGGUGCGAAAGCGUGGGGAGCAAACAGGAUU